GACGAACGCUGGCGGCGUGCCUAAUACAUGCAAGUUGAGCGCUGAAGGUUGGUACUUGUACCAACUGGAUGAGCAGCGAACGGGUGAGUAACGCGUGGGGAAUCUGCCUUUGAGCGGGGGACAACAUUUGGAAACGAAUGCUAAUACCGCAUAAAAACUUUAAACACAAGUUUUAAGUUUGAAAGAUGCAAUUGCAUCACUCAAAGAUGAUCCCGCGUUGUAUUAGCUAGUUGGUGAGGUAAAGGCUCACCAAGGCGAUGAUACAUAGCCGACCUGAGAGGGUGAUCGGCCACAUUGGGACUGAGACACGGCCCAAACUCCUACGGGAGGCAGCAGUAGGGAAUCUUCGGCAAUGGACGAAAGUCUGACCGAGCAACGCCGCGUGAGUGAAGAAGGGUGUCGGAUCGUAAAACUCUGUUGGUAGAGAGGAACGUUGGUGAGAGUGGAAAGCUCAUCAAGUGACGGUAACUACCCAGAAAGGGACGGCUAACUACGUG
rnacentral:rRNA from 1 species